rnacentral:misc_RNA from 1 species
ACAAGGAACAAUUUAUGUUCUUCUUUUAGAGGCAGAGCAAACCCAUUGAUUAUACUCCCUAAAACCUCUAAAAGUUCUGCAAUCCCAUUAUGUUUCUCCGUCUCAAAAAUAAAACGGAAGAAGAUGUUGUUAAUAGCCUUCCUUAUAAAUGGGCGAUGAACCAUAAACUUUCCAUAGAUACGAUGUAGAAUUGUCUUCAGGUACUCCCUCUCCCUUGGAUCCUCAGAAUCAAAGAGAUCUAACAACUUGAGAACAAGAGAAUGAUCAAUGUACCUCUUGGCCAACUUUGCAUCUGUCUCAGGGGAGGCAACAAAUCUCAUAAAGAAUUCAUACACAAUUUGCAAGUGAGGCCAUGCAGGGUCAAUCAAGGGUUCCUCCUCUUCCAAAUCAAAGGCUUCUAAAACCUUAUUCUCACGUGGUUGUGGAGUAAGCGACCUAAAUAAAUUCAUAGACACCAUCUUUAUAACUUCUUGCACGACAGUUUCUGUAAACUUCCCAUUUGCAGAAGCAAUAUAAUCCACAAGCUCCACCAAUGUCUGGCGUUUGAUGUCCUUUUCUUUCAAAUUCUUAGUUGGAUCACUGAAGUCGAACACCACACAACACAAGUUCAGCUUUCCAAUAAACAAAUUUUGCUUCUCAGAAUUGGGGACAUCCUUAAANNNNNNNNNNNCAUAAGGACUAAUUACUGAAUUGCCAUUCAGUUUUGGACUCAAAGCCUGGGUAGGUUUACUGCCAUGACCAUAACCUAAAUAUGAAGCAGAGUCAGAGGCCGGAGGAGAUGCAUUGUUUAAAGUGACAGGCCUAUUACUCACAAGAUCACUGCUCCUAGAAGUAAUGGAAGUAUUUGAAGGUGCAGAUGGACCACCAAAUUCACGAUUCUCAGAUGAUUUAGAUGGCUUCCGUGGAAGCCUACCAAGUAUUUGCUUGAUCAUAACUCAAAAGUUAUAUACAAGUAUAAAAAUUCCUACAAACCCGGCUGUGUUUAGAGACUUCUCUGAAGCAGAUUUUAAUCCAUUAGAAGGACAAAAACUCAACUUCACGAUCAGAGAACAGCACAAAGGUGCANNNNNNNNNNNNAUCAAACUACAAGAAAACAACCCCACCUAUACAGAAACCCACUUCCUAACACAAACUAAGCAAAACCCAGAAGCAUUAGUUAAAGCAUCGAAAGAAAGCUGCUUAUUUCCA